CGCAUCUGUGCAUGCAGCAUAUCAAUAAGCGGAGGAAAAGAAACUAACAAGGAUUCCCCUAGUAACGGCGAGUGAAGCGGGAAGAGCUCAAAUUUGAAAUCUUAAAGGGUUUCCCUUUACGAAUUGUAGUUUAAAGAAGUGUUUUCUGUUGAGGUUUUGGUAAAAGUUCUUUGGAAUAGGACAUCAUAGAGGGUGAGAAUCCCGUAUUUGACCUUUACUUUCAACUUUGUGAUACACUUUCAAAGAGUCGGAUUGUUUGGGAAUGCAGUCCAAAAUGGGUGGUAAAUUUCAUCUAAAGCUAAAUAUUGGCGAGAGACCGAUAGCGAACAAGUACCGUGAGGGAAAGAUGAAAAGAACUUUGAAAAGAGAGUUAAACAGUACGUGAAAUUGUCAAAAGGGAAGCGUUUGACACCAGUGUUGUUUUUCUGAAAAUCAAUUAAAGAACUGUUUAUGCUAAGUUGUUUAGACUUUAUCAGCUAAUCUGCUUAGUUUUGAGCUUUUCUUUAAUGCACUUUUCAGUUAACAAGUCAACAUCAAUUUCUUUUGCUGUAAAAAAGCUUGAGGAAGGUGGCUUGAGAUUCGUCUUAAGUGUUUAUAGCCUCUUGCCUAUGCAGUCGGAGAGAUUGAGGUCUGCAGCGUAGAUCCUUCGGGGCUAAAUGCAUUUGUGCUAAGUUAUAACAUUUUAUAGACAACUUGUUGACUAUGAUUUGUCUUGUAGCUUACUCGCUUAUGUUAUUUUACCUACGCUUAGGAUGUUGAGCGCAUGUCUCUCUCU
rnacentral:rRNA from 1 species